rnacentral:misc_RNA from 1 species
GAUGAAGAACGUAGCGAAAUGCGAUAAGUAAUGUGAAUUGCAGAAUUCAGUGAAUCAUCGAAUCUUUGAACGCACAUUGUGCCCCCUGGUAUUCCGGGGGGCAUGCCUGUUCGAGCGUCAUUUCACCACUCAAGCCUCGCUUGGUAUUGGGCAAUGCGGUCCGCCGCCUGCCUCAAAUCGACCGGCUGGGUCUUCUGUCCCCUAAGCGUUGUGGAAACUAUUCGCUAAAGGGUGUUCGGGAGGCUACGCCGUAAAACAACCCCAUUUCUAAGGUUGACCUCGGAUCAGGUAGGGAUACCCGCUGAACUUAAGCAUAUCAAUAAGCGGAGGA